UAAGGAGGGUAACCGUUGUGGUGUGGCUGGUGGAGUGUGCCGCUCCUCCACCAAGACCUGGCUCACUCUCCACCCUUUAACCAGGCCAGGCAAUCCCUCCCACAUGAUUCUCAUUUAGAUAUCGCUGAGAGCCAUGACUGGCAUAAUGGUUGGUCUGUGGUAUUGACUCCAUAUCCUGACCACUUAGUUAGCCUUGAAAUAAGGGAGUUGUAUGCAGAAAUUAUGGAGCGCUUGAACCAGUGAGUGUGAUGAUUUCUAGUGAGCGUCUCCGUGGGGCGGCAACGCUAUUGUUCAAUGGUGUCUGGCAUUUACAGCUUCUUGUUUACCACCAGUUAGGUGAGUGUAGGAAAUGAUUGAGGUGUUACUUACAGGGUUAAGGAUCAUGAAAAUAUUACAGCCUCUUGUUUACCUGCAGUUAGGUGAGUGUAGGAAAUGAUUGAGGUGUUACUUACAGGGUUAAGGAUCAUGAAAAUAUUACAGCCUCUUGUUUACCAGCAGUUAGGUGAGUGUAGGAAAUGAUUGAGGUGUUACUUACAGGGUUAAGGAUCAUGAAAAUAUUACAGCCUCUUGUUUACCAGCAGUUAGGUGAGUGUAGGAAAUGAUUGAGGUGUUACUUACAGGGUUAAGGAUCAUGAAAAUAUUACAGCCUCUUGUUUACC